rnacentral:rRNA from 1 species
AAAGGAAUUGACGGGGGCCCGCACAAGCGGUGGAUUAUGUGGAUUAAUUCGAUGCAACGCGAAAAACCUUACCUGGCCUUGACAUGUAGCGAACUUUCCAGAGAUGGAUUGGUGCUCGAAAGAGAACGCUAACACAGGUGCUGCAUGGCUGUCGUCAGCUCGUGUCGUGAGAUGUUGGGUUAAGUCCCGCAACGAGCGCAACCCUUGCCAUUAAUUGCCAUCAUUUAGUUGGGCACUUUAAUGGGACUGCCGGUGACAAACCGGAGGAAGGUGGGGAUGACGUCAAGUCCUCAUGGCCCUUAUGGCCAGGGCUUCACACGUAAUACAAUGGUCGGUACAGAGGGUUGCCAAGCCGCGAGGUGGAGCCAAUCCCAGAAAGCCGAUCGUAGUCCGGAUUGUAGUCUGCAACUCGACUACAUGAAGUCGGAAUCGCUAGUAAUCGCGGAUCAGCAUGUCGCGGUGAAUACGUUCCCGGGCCUUGUACACACCGCCCGU